GACGAACGCUGGCGGCGUGCUUAACACAUGCAAGUCGAACGGAAAGGCCCUGCUUUUGUGGGGUGCUCGAGUGGCGAACGGGUGAGUAACACGUGAGUAACCUGCCCUUGACUUUGGGAUAACUUCAGGAAACUGGGGCUAAUACCGGAUAGGAGCUCCUGCUGCAUGGUGGGGGUUGGAAAGUUUCGGCGGUUGGGGAUGGACUCGCGGCUUAUCAGCUUGUUGGUGGGGUAGUGGCUUACCAAGGCUUUGACGGGUAGCCGGCCUGAGAGGGUGACCGGCAACAUUGGGACUGAGAGACGGACGAGAGUACUACGGGAGGCAGAAGGGGGGAAUAUUGAACAAUGGGCGGAAGUCUGAUGCAGCAACGCCGCGUGCGGGAUGACGGCUUUCGGGUGGUAAAACGCUUGCGCAUGUGACGAAGAGGGAGUGACGGUAAUGGGUAAAGAAGCACCGGCUAACUACGUG
rnacentral:rRNA from 1 species